rnacentral:rRNA from 11 species
GUUUACUAAAAACACAGGGCUCUGCGAAGUCGUAAGACGACGUAUAGGGUCUGACGCCUGCCCGGUGCCUGAAGGUUAAAAGGAGGGGUGCAAGCUCUGAAUUGAAGCCCAGGUAAACGGCGGCCGUAACAAUAACGGUCCUAAGGUAGCGAAAUUCCUUGUCGGGUAAGUUCCGACCUGCACGAAUGGUGUAACCAUGGCCACGCUGUCUCCACCCGAGACUCAGUGAAAUUGAAAUCGCCGUGAAGAUGCGGUGUAUCCGCGGCUAGACGGAAAGACCCCGUGAACCUUUACUAUAGCUUCACAGUGAACUUUGAGCAUGUUUGUGUAGGAUAGCUGGGAGGCUUUGAAGUGGGAACGCCAGUUCUCAUGGAGCCAACCUUGAAAUACCAGCCUGACAUGUUUGAGGUUCUAACUUGGUCCCCUUAUCGGGGAUGAGGACACUGUGUGGUGGGUAGUUUGACUGGGGCGGUCUCCUCCCAAAGCGUAACGGAGGAGCACAAAGGUGGGCUAAGCAUGGUCGGACAUCAUGCGGUUAGUGUAAUGGCACAAGCCCGCUUAACUGCGAGACAGACACGUCGAGCAGGUACGAAAGUAGGUCAUAGUGAUCCGGUGGUUCUGUAUGGAAGGGCCAUCGCUCAACGGAUAAAAGGUACUCCGGGGAUAAC